rnacentral:sRNA from 3 species
CCCUAGCCCCGAUUGAAGCUUUGUUUGAGCUCCUUUUUGUUUUUUUCAAACAAAAAGAGCGAGUGCGGAAAGCGGGAAAUAGC